rnacentral:rRNA from 1 species
UACGGAGGGGGCUAGCGUUGUUCGGAAUUACUGGGCGUAAAGCGCACGUAGGCGGCUUUGCAAGUCAGAGGUGAAAUCCCUUGGCUUAACCAAGGAAUGGCGUCUGAUACUGGACGGCUUGAAUUCGGGAGAGGGAUGUGGAAUUCCAGGUGUAGCGGUGAAAUGCGUAGAUAUCUGGAGGAACACCGGUGGCGAAGGCGGCAUCCUGGACCGAUAUUGACGCUGAGGAGCGAAAGCCAGGGGAGCAAACGGG